AUAAUUUUAAAUGAUUUCUUUAACUUUGUUUUAGACACUUAACAUUUCCACACUUUCGUCUCUUAAGACUAAUUCAACUAACCCUACCGGAAAAUCCUCAAUGCCACUACUUGAAGAAGUGAUUCCACGGUUAAGGCCCAGAGAAGUAUCAAAGAAGAGUCCUAUAUCCAGCGAGACAGCAGCAACAACAUUUAAGGAUGAUACAAAAAAAAACUACAAGAAACGACAGUAUUCGAGGAAGAAAUGAGUGAUACGGAAAUGUCAUUGACAAUAGAAACGGAUGUCGAAAAUAUCACGAUACCAAACAAAGUUGUUGAGGGACGGAGCAUAAUAGACUUUGAAUUCUUUAUGAAACAGUUAACUGAUAUUGAGACACACGGUGAGAAAUUCGGUUGUAGGCUGAGCAAUCUCAAUUUAGUUCGAGAGAAACAAACGGGACUCAAAUCAGUUUUUUUUUUAUAAAUGUCGUAUGUGUGGUUGCAAAUUUCAGCUAAAGACAUGCGAUGACGAUGCAUUAAAAUUAGAUAUCAAUCCGGGCGCUGUAUCGGGCGCCAUUGUCACUGGAAUUGGGUUGUCGAAUCUGAACGAAGUAAAUACUUCAAUGGAUUUACCAACCAUGGCGUUCCCACUGUAUAGCUCAACUCACGAUGAUGUCGCAGAAAUGUGGCGCAUAACUGCCGAGCAAACAAUGCAAAAACUGCCGAAGAAGAGCGAGAUGCUGCAAUAUCACGUGGUGAUGUCAAUGAUGCAGGGAUUGCAACGGUGCCUGUAGAAGCAGACGCCUGUUGGAGUAAACGGUCCUAUUGAACCAACUAUUCGGCUCUAUCUGGUUGUGCUGCUAUCAUUGGCGAGCAUACCGGAAAAGUACUUCAUAUCGGAGCUCGCAACAGGUAUUGCGUCAUAUGUGCUCGUGGUCAAAAAAAAAAACCUUCCCCCUCGUCAACAUAAUUGCACCAAAAAUCAUGUAGGAUCAGCAACAAGCAUGGAGCAAGCAAUAUUGGUGGAAGGUUUUAAGUGCUCGGUAGAAGAGAGGAACCUUAUAUACAAAACAUUAAUAGCCGAUGGUGAUUCCAGCACAUACAAGAACAUUGUUGAUAGUAGGCCAUAUCCAGAUGUUUUUAUACAAAAAAUAGAGUGCACCAACCACCUGUUACGUAACUAUAACGGAAAAAAUAUGCAACUGCCGAAAGAUACAACGAUUCCUUUAAAAGAACGCAAACUUUUAACUUCGGAUCACAUAACUAGACUUCGUACAGCUAUCCGCUCAGCAAGCAAGUAUAGAAAUGAAUAAAAUAACUCCAACGAGACCAAGAUUAAAAAUUUACAAAAAGAUAUAAUUAACAGUAUUUACCACAUCUUUGGAGAUCACGCAGAUUGUGAAGAUUACUACUGCACACAAGAAAGAAAAGCAGAACAAAAUUUAGUUCCACCCACUCGAACCAACGUUAAUGAAGAAAUUAAGAAAAAAUGCAUCACAGCUGGCUCUUAACUCCAGAAGUCUCUUGUGUAAUUUCACUAAUAAUCGAGCCGAACAAUUUAAUAGCAUGGUCGCAAAAGUAGUGGGAGGCAAGAGAGUAUUUUUUUCCUUAAAGGACUCGU